ensembl:antisense_RNA F15B9.15 ncRNA
CAAACAUUGCAACUAACCAUACAUGCUCUACUACUCCCUGUCACUGCUUUUGCAAUCAAAUAUUUUCGUUUUCCAAUUCUUCGAACACUCAAAUUAACCAUCAUCUGACGAACUGAGUCACUAUAUUUCGCUGCUGAAAUAUACUUUAAUGUCAUCAUUGCAUUAAUAAAUAAUAUUUACUUUUAUU